rnacentral:rRNA from 1 species
CGCGAAUCGCCCUUCGGGGUGCACCAGGCGCGAAAACUUUACAAUGCGGGAAACCGUGAUAAGGGGACACCGAGUGCCAGCAUCAUAUGCUGGCUGUCCAGAUGUGUAAAAUACAUCUGUUAGCAAGGGCCGGGCAAGACCGGUGCCAGCCGCCGCGGUAACACCGGCGGCCCGAGUGGUGAUCGUGAUUAUUGGGUCUAAAGGGUCCGUAGCCGGUUUGGUCAGUCCUCCGGGAAAUCUGAUAGCUCAACUAUUAGGCUUUCGGGGGAUACUGCCAGACUUGGAACCGGGAGAGGUAAGAGGUACUACAGGGGUAGGAGUGAAAUCUUGUAAUCCCUGUGGGACCACCUGUGGCGAAGGCGUCUUACCAGAACGGGUUCGACGGUGAGGGACGAAAGCUGGGGGCACGAACCGGAUUAGAUACCCGGGUAGUCCCAGCCGUAAACGAUGCUCGCUAGGUGUCAGACAUGGCGCGACCGUGUCUGGUGCCGCAGGGAAGCCGUGAAGCGAGCCACCUGGGAAGUACGGCCGCAAGGCUGAAACUUAAAGGAAUUGGCGGGGGAGCAC